rnacentral:tRNA from 1 species
ACUGGGUUGGCCGAGUGGUUAAGGCGUUGGACUUAAGUUCCAAUGGACAAGUGUCCGCGUGGGUUCGAACCCCCCCCCCAGUA